rnacentral:rRNA from 1 species
CCUACGGGAGGCAGCAGUGAGGAAUAUUGGUCAAUGGACGAGAGUCUGAACCAGCCAAGUAGCGUGAAGGAUGACUGCCCUAUGGGUUGUAAACUUCUUUUAUAUGGGAAUAAAACGUUCCACGUGUGGGAUUUUGUAUGUACCAUAUGAAUAAGGAUCGGCUAACUCCGUGCCAGCAGCCGAGGUAAUACGGAGGAUCCGAGCGUUAUCCGGAUUUAUUGGGUUUAAAGGGAGCGUAGGUGGAUUGUUAAGUCAGUUGUGAAAGUUUGCGGCUCAACCGUAAAAUUGCAGUUGAAACUGGCAGUCUUGAGUACAGUAGAGGUGGGCGGAAUUCGUGGUGUAGCGGUGAAAUGCUUAGAUAUCACGAAGAACUCCGAUUGCGAAGGCAGUUCACUGGACUGCAACUGACACUGAGGCUCGAAAGUGUGGGUAUCAAACAGGAUUAGAUACCCCGGUAGUC